rnacentral:lncRNA from 1 species
GUCAGGACCUCCAGAAAGGAAAGUGACAUAACUAGCUUUAAAAAGAUCUCCAGGAAAUGAAGUAUAGCACAUGCCACAUACCUUAUAGACAAGUCUUAACAUGGCCCCAGUUCUACCCUUUGUUUCAACUUCGGCCAAGAAAUUUAAUCUUCAUCAGAAAAGAAUUCCAAGACAAGUUUCCAGCCUCCACCAGUUCCAGUUUUUAUGUACACCGUGGAUGACAGAGAGUGAAAGGACCCUUUUAUCUCUGAUCCAGCACCUGGGCUCUGCAGACACGUUCACCUGAUUGUCUCCCAGGUCAUGACUUCACCUAUACAGAAACCACAUUGAAUUUUCCACGGAUGCCCUCUAUGUCCUUUUGAUCAGGACAAAAGAAUGAGUCAAUAUUUAUGGAACAGGGAUGAGGAAGGAGACAUAUGCUAACUGUUGUGAACUUU